GACGAACGCUGGCGGCGUGCUUAACACAUGCAAGUCGAACGGUGAACCAGGGCUUUUGUGCCCUGCGGGUGAGGGGCGCGCGGGUGAGUAACGCGAGAACCAUCUGCCCCGAUCUCGGGUAUAUGCGUGGGACUGGACGUCUUAUACGAGAUACGACGCGGGAGGGCAGCCUGGCCGCGAGAGUAGUACUGCGGUUGGGGGUGAGCGCGCGGCCUAUCAGCUUGUUGGUGAGGGAAGGGCUCACCACGGCGACGACGGGUAGCCGGCCUGAGAGGGUGACCGGCCACACUGGGACUGAGACACGGCCCAGACUCCUACGGGAGGCAGCAGUGGGGAAUAUUGCACAAUGGGCGCAAGCCUGAUGCAGCAACGCCGCGUGAGGGAUGACGGCCUUCGGGUUGUAAACCGCUUUUAGCAGGGACGAAGCGAAAGUGACGGUACCUGGAGAAGAAGCACCGGCUAACUACGUG
rnacentral:rRNA from 1 species